rnacentral:rRNA from 1 species
UACGGGGGGGGCAAGCGUUGUUCGGAAUUACUGGGCGUAAAGGGCUCGUAGGCGGCCAACUAAGUCAGAUGUGAAAUCCCUCGGCUUAACCGGGGAACUGCAUCUGAUACUGGAUGGCUUGAGAUUGGCAGAGGGAUGCGGAAUUCCAGGUGUAGCGGUGAAAUGCGUAGAUAUCUGGAGGAAUACCGGUGGCGAAGGCGGCAUCCUGGACCGACAUUGACGCUGAUGAGCGAAAGCUAGGGGAGCAAACAGG